GAGUUUGAUCCUGGCUCAGAACGAACGUUGGCGGCGUGGAUUAGGCAUGCAAGUCGAGCGGGAUCUGAUUUUUUCAAUUCUUCGGAAGAGAAGUUAUCAGUGAGAGCGGCGAACGGGUGAGUAAUAAAUGGGUAAUUUGCCUCUUUGUUCGGGAUAGCCAUCGGAAACGAUGAUUAAUACCGAAUGUGUUCGGGUGCUUCAUGGCACCCUCUAUAAAGGCGGGGAUUCUUCGGAACCUGUCGCAAAGAGAUAAGCCCAUUUCCUAUCAGCUAGUUGGUGAGGUAACGGCUCACCAAGGCUUACGGGUAGCGGGUCUGAGAGGAUGAUCCGCCACACUGGGACUGAGACACUGCCCAGACUCCUACGGGAGGCUGCAGUCGAGAAUCAUUGUCAAUGCACGAAAGUGUGAACAUGCGACGCCGCGUGGAGGAAGACGGCCUUUGGGUUGUAAACUCCUGUCAGCAGGGAGUAAGAAUAGAUCACUUAAUACGUGUUUUAUUUGAUAGUACCCGCAGAGGAAGUCACGGCUAACUCUGUGCCAGCAGCCGUGGUAAUACAGAGGUGGCGAACGUUGUUCGGAUUUACUGGGCGUAAAGGGUCCGCAGGCGGUCUUGUGUGUCAGAUGUGAAAGCCCACAGCUUAACUGUGGAAUUGCAUUUGAAACUGCAGGACUAGAGUACUGGAGGGGAGAAGGGAACACUUGGUGUAGCGGUGAAAUGCGUAGAUAUCAAGUGGAACACCGGCGGCGAAGGCGCUUCUCUGGACAGAUACUGACGCUCAUGGACGAAAGUUAGGGUAGCGAAAGGGAUUAGAUACCCCUGUAGUCCUAACCGUAAACGGUGUGCACUAGACGUGGGAGGCUUUACCCCCUUCCGUGUCUGAGCUAACGCAUUAAGUGCACCGCCUGGGGAGUACGGUCGCAAGAUUAAAACUCAAAGGAAUUGACGGGGACCCGCACAAGCGGUGGAGCAUGCGGCU
rnacentral:rRNA from 1 species